GAUGAACGCUGGCGGCGUGCCUAAUACAUGCAAGUCGAGCGAACAGACGAGGAGCUUGCUCCUCUGACGUUAGCGGCGGACGGGUAAGUAACACGUGGAUAACCUACCUAUAAGACUGGGAUAACUUCGGGAAACCGGAGCUAAUACCGGAUAAUAUAUUGAACCGCAUGGUUCAAUAGUGCAUGACGGUUUUGCUGUCACUUAUAGAUGGAUCCGCGCCGCAUUAGCUAGUUGGUAAGGUAACGGCUUACCAAGGCAACGAUGCGUAGCCGACCUGAGAGGGUGAUCGGCCACACUGGAACUGAGACACGGUCCAGACUCCUACGGGAGGCAGCAGUAGGGAAUAUUCCGCAAUGGGCGAAAGCUUGACGGAGCAACGCCGCGUGAGUGAUGAAGGUCUUCGGAUCGUAAAACUCUGUUAUUAGGGAAGAACAAAUGUGGAAGAAACUAUGCACGUCUUGACGGUACCUAAUCAGAAAGCCACGGCUAACUACGUG
rnacentral:rRNA from 1 species